UAAAAUCCUUUGCUAAAUGUCUUCAAAUUGUGUAUUUAUUCACAAGAUGGUUCAUAAGUUAGAUUCUUUCAUCUGUUUUUUUUUUUUCCUGGUACUGGGGAUCGAACUCGGGACCUUGCCCAAUUUCAAGACAGGAGGUGGAACCACUGAGCUAAACCCUCGACUCCUCUCAUCUGUUAACGAAGCAAAAGGAGAGCUUAUCUUUGGUUCUGCUUUUGACCAUCUUACAGCCCCAUAAACUCUAUGCAUCUGUAUCAGCCCAGUCUUGGAACUCACUUUCUCCCUUUUUGUCAUCAACUCCCCCCACCCCAAAUGAAGAAGAUGAAGAAGAAGAAGAAAAAGAAAAACGACUGCUGUGCAGAACGUUCCAAGAUGCAAGCAACAAGCUGAGCUGAUCUUAUCAUCCCUCAGCACAGUUUUACCAAGAUGAAAGCAAGGACUAUUAAAAUAUCUGCUUGUAAUCUUUAUGUGAGAAGUGGCUGGAACUAGGCAUGAAAUGGUACUUCUUGUGCCUGUGACACAGAACAGCCAAGAACCGUCAGAAGUCAGGGCUGUGGCAGCUCUUGGGGCUGAGCCUCUGCAGGGCAGAACCCGGGGCAGAGUGAUUUCUAAGUCCCAACUCUCCAGAGCGGAAAGGGACUUGGUCUGGGUGUCGGGGUUCCUGGGUCCUGGAAUGAUAAUAACAUGUUUGCUGGGGGCUUAGAGUUGAUGAUUGUACAUGUGUUGUCUCCCAUAUUGUGCUACCCGUAGCAGUCUUCCUCAGGUACCGCAUUUCUACUCAUUUUCUCUGGCUUGUUUUAAAUAUCUUUAGGGAGGGUUUUCUAGCACCUCAAAGCAGGCUUGGUUUCUGUAGCAGUCAUGGUGCAUUGAGAUAGACAUUAGUUGUUAAGCACACCAUUUCACUUCCUUUUUUGGUAACAGCCCCUCCUUUCUUUUUAGGGAAAAUUUUCCCCUUCCCACGUAGUUCUGGUGGGCUGUUCAUCACAGUACCCUUCCCCUCUCCACACUGGUUGCCAGGAAACCAGGGAAAGCCUAUAUGCUCCCUCCCCAGGGCAGUGAUUGGUCCAUCUGUGGUCAUAUGACCUAAGUAGGGCCAAUAAGAGUCUUCUUUGCUAUUGAUCUACAGAUUAGGAGACAGGAAGGGUGUCUUUUGGAUGGGACUGCUAAGUGAGAAGGACUUGCACCUAGGGUUACCAGAGUCUGUCUUUUAUAACACUGUUGAGGAAAACUGUGAGUGUUAGGAGAGACAGAAGCUGGGCAUAAAAGCAGUGAAGAGGAUGGAUGUAAUAUAAUCCACAUACCAUAAACAUCCUUUUAAAGGGUUCAGUGGUUUUUAGGGUAUUCAUGAGUUUAUGCAACAAUCACCAUUAUCUAAUUCCAGAACAUGUCCAUCACCCUAAAAGGGAACCAUGUAACUGUUAGCAGUCACUCCCCCUUCUCUCCUAUCCUAGCCCCUGGAAACCACUAAUCUUUCUGUCUAUGGAUUUGCCUAUUCUGAACAUUUCAUGGUGAUGGAAUCAUAUGAUAUGUGGCCAUUUGUGCCUGCUCUCUUUUCCUUAGCAUGAUGUCUGCACAGUAUAACUAUAUUGUAUCAUAUACUAGUACUUCAUUCUUUUUUUAUGGCCAAACAAUAUUUCAUUGUAAGAAUGUAGCACAUUUUGUUUCACUAUUCAUUGGUUGGUGCAUAUUUGGCUUGUUUUGGGCCAUUAUGAAUAAUGCUGCUAUGAAUUUUUCAUUGAACAUUAUGU
ensembl:lncRNA